AGUGAACGCUGGCGGUAGGCCUAACACAUGCAAGUCGAACGGCAGCACAGUAAGAGCUUGCUCUUACGGGUGGCGAGUGGCGGACGGGUGAGGAAUACAUCGGAAUCUACUUUUUCGUGGGGGAUAACGUAGGGAAACUUACGCUAAUACCGCAUACGACCUACGGGUGAAAGCAGGGGAUCUUCGGACCUUGCGCGAUUGAAUGAGCCGAUGUCGGAUUAGCUAGUUGGCGGGGUAAAGGCCCACCAAGGCGACGACCCGUAGCUGGUCUGAGAGGAUGAUCAGCCACACUGGAACUGAGACACGGUCCAGACUCCUACGGGAGGCAGCAGUGGGGAAUAUUGGACAAUGGGCGCAAGCCUGAUCCAGCCAUACCGCGUGGGUGAAGAAGGCCUUCGGGUUGUAAAGCCCUUUUGUUGGGAAAGGAAAGCAGCAGGUUAAUACCCCGCUGUUCUGACGGUACCCAAAGAAUAAGCACCGGCUAACUUCGUG
rnacentral:rRNA from 1 species